rnacentral:rRNA from 1 species
UACAGAGGGUGCGAGCGUUGUCCGGAAUCACUGGGCGUAAAGGGCGCGUAGGUGGCGCAACAAGUCAGUGGUGAAAGCUCGACGCUCAACGUCGAGUCGGCCACUGAGACUGUUGGGCUUGAGCACUGUAGAGGCUAAUGGAAUUCCGGGUGUAGCGGUGGAAUGCGUAGAGAUCCGGAAGAACACCGGUGGCGAAGGCGGUUAGCUGGGCAUUACCUGACGCUGAGGAGCGAAAGUGUGGGGAGCGAACAGG